UACGAAGGGGGCUAGCGUUGUUCGGAAUUACUGGGCGUAAAGCGCGCGCAGGCGGCUAUCCAAGUCAGUGGUGAAAGCCCGGAGCUCAACUCCGGAACUGCCAUUGAAACUGUUUAGCUGGAGUAUGAGAGAGGUGAGUGGAAUUCCCAGUGUAGAGGUGAAAUUCGUAGAUAUUGGGGAAGAACACCGGUGGCGAAGGCGGCUCACUGGCCCGAUACUGACGCUGAGGCACGAAAGCGUGGGGAGCAAACAGG
rnacentral:rRNA from 1 species